UACAGAGGUGGCAAGCGUUGUUCGGAAUUACUGGGCGUAAAGGGCGCGUAGGCGGCCAUCUAAGUCAGACGUGAAAUCCCCCGGCUUAACCUGGGAACUGCGUCUGAUACUGGAAGGCUUGAGUUUGGGAGAGGGAUGCAGAAUUCCAGGUGUAGCGGUGAAAUGCGUAGAUAUCUGGAGGAAUACCGAUGGCGAAGGCAGGUCUCUGGGCUGACACUGACGCUCAUGCACGAAAGCGUGGGGAGCAAACAGG
rnacentral:rRNA from 1 species